rnacentral:rRNA from 1 species
AGAGUUUGAUCCUGGCUCAGGACGAACGCUGGCGGCGCGCUUAACACAUGCAAGUCGAGCGAGAACCAGCCCUUCGGGACUGGGGAAAGCGGCGAACGGGUGAGUAACACGUGAGUAAUCUGCCCUCGGCACCGGGAUAGCCCGUGGAAACGCGGAUUAAUACCGGAUGGCCCGCCGGCCCUUAGGGGCUGUCGGAAAAGGUAGCUUCGGCCUCCGGCCGAGGAGGAGCUCGCGGCCGAUUAGCUAGUUGGCGGGGUAAGAGCCCACCAAGGCGACGAUCGGUAGCUGGUCUGAGAGGACGAUCAGCCACACUGGGACUGAGACACGGCCCAGACUCCUACGGGAGGCAGCAGUGGGGAAUCUUGCGCAAUGGGCGAAAGCCUGACGCAGCGACGCCGCGUGCGGGAAGAAGGCCUUCGGGUUGUAAACCGCUUUCAGGAGGGACGAAGCCACUCGGGUUAAUAGCCCAGAGGGUGACGGUACCUCCAGAAGAAGCCCCGGCUAACUACGUGCCAGCAGCCGCGGUAAUACGUAGGGGGCAAGCGUUGUCCGGAUUUAUUGGGCGUAAAGAGCGUGUAGGCGGCUUGGCAAGUCCGCUGUGAAAACUCGAGGCUCAACCUCGAGACGUCGGUGGAAACUGCCUCGCUAGAGUCCGGA